UUUUAUCUCGAAUCCGCAAUUUUUUUUUUUAUCUCAUUAAGGAUAUUCCAAUAGACAUAAAAACAAUUUUUAUAAAAUUUUGGGGACUUCCCCUAAUGUUUUAAGCUUCGUCAAAGUCAGCUGAUUCAGGGUUGCAUGGUGAAUGGCAAAAAGUGCGCCAAAUUAUUCUCAGCUGUCGACGUAAAAAAACUAUUGCAAUUAAAAUUUACAAACCAAUUUAACUAUGGAAAAUCUUCUUAAAGUUGUAUUUUCAGCCGUAACCUUAAAAAUAUUUGUGUGUUUCGUGGAAGAUAACUUAUAAUGUUAGAGUUUGUUGUUCAAUGUUUAAGUAGCAAGGUAUUCAGUAAACAUUCCUUAAUCAAAUGAUAUAAAGGGUUUUUGCUCCUUUUUGCUCCAUUUGGCGAAAUAUCGUAUGUUGCAGAUACAUACGAGAUUAGCAAUUCAAUGUUGCUAGAAGUUUGGAGCAGCAACAAUAGGCAAGAAAGCGCUGUCAGAAACUACAUUUUGGAAAAUUUAAACAGCGAAUAUAUAUCUGAAGUGCAACUUGACAUUAUUAAAGAGAAAGUCCAUAAUUUGACGUCGUAUAUGAAAUAUAAUUUGAAAAAAUGUAAUCGAAAUAUGAAUCGAUUUAAACAAAAACAUUCUCUUUGGCUAGCUUCUAGUGCUAAGUUUAAAAUACACCGUCAUGACAACAAUAAUAAUAUGGGAGGUCGGAAGAGCUUAAACUAUAAUGAAGCGGGAUCCCGAUUAAGGAGGAAAUUAGCUUCUGAGCUUGCCGAAGAGAGCAAAAACGCAACACCCCUUUUGGUACAUGCUGCUUUGAUUUCAUCAAAAAAAAUCAAAAGAAACCGAAAAAACUUAUCUGUUACAAAAAGCUAUGAGCAAUGAGAAUGUGUGGGAAGCAGAAAAUAAGCAAUCAUCCAUUGCAGUAGUACCUAUAACUGCUGAGGCGGCAUUAGCAUUUUUAAUGGAAAAUGGGUUGUCCAAACAACAAUAUAUCAACAUAUGCUCCCUUCUCGAAGAACCCGAUGUUUAUGCUUCACAAUCAUUAGAUAACAAAGAUGAUCAAUCUGAGAAUGAAGAAGAGGAAGAAGAACAGAAUGUAAUCUCUUCUGAACUGGACGGCAUCGAAUUGGAAGAAGAAAAUGAAGACUAUUAGAAACUAAUUAACAGAUUUGCGAAUCGCGAAUAUAUAUGUAGUAAAUUAUUUAU